CUUACCUUGUAUUGCAAAGUCCUCUAGGGCAGGGGUUCUCAACCUUUUCUUUGCUGAGGCCCCCCCUCAAGGUGCUAUAAAAACUCUAGGGUCCAGCAGGGGGUGGGGGAACUUGGGGCUCUGGGCAGGGGGAGACCCUUGGGCACAGACAUAGUUUUACUUCCAUUUACAGGGACCUCACAAGGUCCAGGGGUGGAGCACCACCUCCACUUCCUGACUCACUCAGGAGGCAACCCAGCCUGUCCCGGCUGUGGGGGAUGCAACCAAAAAAUAUAACUAAAAGGAGGAACUCAGUUAAAAAAGUUUGAAAACUGCUCAGGGUGCAGGGAGGAGGUAGCUAGAGGCUGUGUGCGGAGAGGGGAGUAGUUCCGGAUGCAGGCAGGGGGUAGCUAGAUACUGUGUACGGAGGGGGGCUCCUAGGGUUGCUCCCAGCUUUGGGGGGGCAAUGGGGCUCCCAGCUUCAGCCUCACACCUCUUCUGGCUUUGGGGGCUUAAGGGGGUGCUGGCAUCAGUCCUGCACCGCUCCUGGCUGUGGUGGGGGGUGCGAUCAUUAGCCCUGUGCUGCUCCCAGCUUUGGUACAGGGGGGCACCAGCUUUAGUGCUGAGACUAGGGGCCAGCCAUGGGGCUCUGCUGACCUCCUGAAAGGGCUCGUGGACCCUGGCUGAGAACCACUGCUCUAGGGACAUGGCUGUUAAUUUUUCAUGGAAGGCACUGAGAUACAGUGAUGGUCACCGCUAUAAACUCUGAGAUAACCCAUUGGUGAGAAGAGGUGAGUUCUGAAGAGAUGAAUUCUUAUGGAUUCUGACUGAGCACAUUUCCCACAGAAGUGCUUAUCAUAGUAGAGAACUGAGUUUUGCGGGCUGGCAUCGCCGGUAGAGUUACUAAGGAGAAUGGGAGACAGUCCAGCAAGAGAUCCAUUCUCCCAGAGAACCAGGAACUGUUUGUAACCCCCGGAGCAGUUCAGCCAGUCACAGAACAGCAUCAUGGCCAAGCGUGAUGCUGGAGAAGGCACCUCUGGUCUGAGUAUCACUGGUGAAGACACUAUGUUGCUUACGCUGACUGUUGCUACUUUUCAGAAGCUAUCCUAAAUUGGUGCAAACACUCCU